UGUGUCUCAGUUAGGGUUUCUGUUGCUGUGAAAAGACACCAUGACCAUGGCAACUCUUAUAAAGGAAAGCAUUUAAUUGGGGCUAGCCUACAGUUCAGAGGUUUAGUUCGUUAUCAUCCUGGUGGGACAUGGCAGUGUGUAGGCAGAUGUGGUGCUAGAG